rnacentral:rRNA from 1 species
CCUACGGGAGGCAGCAGUGGGGAAUAUUGGUCAAUGGGCGCAAGCCUGAACCAGCCACGCCGCGUGAAGGAAGAAUGCUUUCGGGUUGUUAACUUCUUUUCUCAUGGACAUAACAGGUGACGCUACCUUAUUACUGAACCCUGGCUAACUACGGGCCAGCAGCCGCUGUAAUACGUAGGUUGCAAGCGUUAUCCGGAUUUACUGGGUUUAAAGGGCGCGUAGGUGGGAAGGCAAGUCAGAUGUGAAAACCAUGGGCGCAACCGGUGGCAUGCAUUUGAAACUGGUUUUCUUGAGUACUGGAGAGGCAGACGGAAUUCGUAGUGUAGCGGUGAAAUGCGUAGAUAUCAGGAGGAACACCAGUGGCGAAGGCGGUUUGCUGGACAGCAACUGACGCUGAGGCGCGAAAGCGUGGGGAUCAAACAGGAUUAGAUACCCCAGUAGUC